GUCAGCCCCAAUCUGCGAUUUGUUAAAGGACCACUCUAGGCACCCAGACCACUUCCGCUUAAUGAAAUGGUCUGGGUGCCAGGUCCAUCUAGGGUUAACCCAGCCUGCUGUAAACAUAGUUUCAGAGAAACUGCUAUGUUUACCUAUGGGUUAAUCCAGCCUCUAGUGGCUCUCUCAUUGACAGCAGCUAGAGGCGCUUCUCACUG